CCUUAUCUCUCAAAGUAUUUUUGGGGUGGGAAAAACCAGUAGCAAUUUCUGAUCUAAAUUCAGUUAACACAGUGUUACUUCCAAUUACCAGCUUCAUAAAACCAGCUUGAAACACAAUAACAUUUUUCUGAAGAUGGACAACAAAAGCUUCCCAGCAUGAAAGGUUCAGUGCACUUUGAACAUUCAUACACAUAUUAAAUGAUAAUGAAAGUCUCACCUGACUUCAGAAUUUCAUCAUAGAAGCUGCCAUUCUACAGAAGCUCACGUGCUGGGAAAUCAUAAGCCUGAUGGUAGAACAUGCACAUUUUCUAAGAUUAAGGCAAAGCUCUGGAUUGUGUCUAAUUCAUCAUUCUACCAUCUGUUUAACAUGGAUUUAUCACUAGUUACUGGCUUGGAGUAAGUAAUCUUUAAAAUUUCUAUUCAGUCUGAACAGUGAUCUGUAGAGUGUCAUCCAUAGAGCCUCUGUAGGACUC
rnacentral:lncRNA from 1 species